AGGACGAACGCUGGCGGCGUGCUUAACACAUGCAAGUCGAGCGGAAAGGCCCUUCGGGGUACUCGAGCGGCGAACGGGUGAGUAACACGUGAGUAAUCUGCCCCUAGCUCUGGGAUAGCUCCGGGAAACCGGGAUUAAUACCAGAUACGACCACUUUAGACAUCUGCUGUGGUGGAAAGAAUUUCGGCUAGGGAUGAGCUCGCGGCCUAUCAGCUUGUUGGUUGAGGUAACGGCUCACCAAGGCGACGACGGGUA
rnacentral:rRNA from 1 species